GUGGGGAAUCUUGCGCAAUGGGCGAAAGCCUGACGCAGCCAUGCCGCGUGAAUGAUGAAGGUCUUAGGAUUGUAAAAUUCUUUCACCGGGGACGAUAAUGACGGUACCCGGAGAAGAAGCCCCGGCUAACUUCGUGCCAGCAGCCGCGGUAAUACGAAGGGGGCUAGCGUUGCUCGGAAUUACUGGGCGUAAAGGGCGCGUAGGCGGACAGUUUAGUCAGAGGUGAAAGCCCAGGGCUCAACCUUGGAAUUGCCUUUGAUACUGGCUGUCUUGAGUACGGGAGAGGUGGGUGGAACUCCGAGUGUAGAGGUGAAAUUCGUAGAUAUUCGGAAGAACACCAGUGGCGAAGGCGACUCACUGGCCCGUUACUGACGCUGAGGCGCGAAAGCGUGGGGAGCAAACAGGAUUAGAUACCCUUGUAGUCC
rnacentral:rRNA from 1 species